rnacentral:rRNA from 1 species
CCUACGGGAUGCAGCAGUGGGGAAUAUUGGACAAUGGGGGGAACCCUGAUCCAGCCAUGCCGCGUGUGUGAAGAAGGCCCUCGGGUUGUAAAGCACUUUCAGUGAGGAAGAACGCCUGGUGGUUAAUACCCAUCAGGAAAGACAUCACUCACAGAAGAAGCACCGGCUAACUCCGUGCCAGCAGCCGCGGUAAUACGGAGGGUGCGAGCGUUAAUCGGAAUUACUGGGCGUAAAGCGCGCGUAGGUGGCUUGAUAAGCCGGUUGUGAAAGCCCCGGGCUCAACCUGGGAACGGCAUCCGGAACUGUCAAGCUAGAGUGCAGGAGAGGAAGGUAGAAUUCCCGGUGUAGCGGUGAAAUGCGUAGAGAUCGGGAGGAAUACCAGUGGCGAAGGCGGCCUUCUGGACUGACACUGACACUGAGGUGCGAAAGCGUGGGUAGCAAACAGGAUUAGAUACCCUGGUAGUC